GGGGGCGACCUGGCUUCGACGUGGGUCGUGAAUCCUGAGGUGCAUGCCGAGCCGCAUACAACUCGUAAAACUGUUUGCAAAAAACUUAGUUGCCAAUGAUGACAACUACGCACUAGCAGCCUAAUAAACUGCAUAGCGCCCUUCGCCAAAGCGUGUCCGUGCGCGUUGGAGUCCGGAGGUCACCCGACACGGAACCGCGAUGAAGCACGCCUGGUGUGGAUUCGUUAAAACUUAUCCAGGCUCGUUGAUUGUUUUCCCAUGCCGGCCGGGUAGCCUUCAACUAAAACAAUAGGACGGACAAGCAUGUAGAGCCAAGGGUGGAUCACUUACGGACGCGGGUUCGAUUCCCGCCGCCUCCACCA
rnacentral:tmRNA from 1 species